rnacentral:tRNA from 1 species
UGGCGCUUAGGUUAAAUAAACCCACUGCCUUCAAAGCAGUUAAUAGGCGAUAAUCCCGCUUAGCGCCAU